rnacentral:lncRNA from 1 species
AUAAUUUAUUUAAGAUAACUCUAUAAAAUAUAAUUAAAAUUUUAAAAUAUAAUUUAUUUUGAUAUAAUUAAUGAAUAAUAUUUUUUUAAAAUAUUUCUUUCUUGCCUGUAAUCUUUGUUACCUUUACUAUCCUGGCACUUGUGUGUGUUGCACAAAUUGCAGCUUUGUCACUGUUCCUGGAUUCAAUCCAAUUCCUUAUAAGAGACCAGCAUUUAAAGCAUUAUUUAAGAGAGUUUUUACACAUUAUUUGGACCAAACUAUGAAGAAUAAAGAAUAUAAUGCCAUUAUUUGUUUUGGCUUAAAAUGUGGAUUUUGUAUUCCUUCUUAUGGCGACAGGCUAUAGUGCUGAGUAUGUCAUGUUGUUCGCUUCAUCGCAUCUUACAUGAUGAUCUCAAAUUUCACCCAUACAAAAUAAUGAUCGUCC